GAUCACGCGAAUAUCAGCUCAACGAUUCGGCCGGCUACUAUCUGAGCCAACUCGACAGAAUUUGUGCUCCUAAUUACAUUCCCACACAGGUAUUUUUCACUGGAAAAUUCACAAAUUUUUCCACUACUAAAAAUUCAAAUUUCCUUUGCAGGAUGACAUUCUCCGCACAAGAAUCAAGACAACAGGAAUCGUGGAGACGCAGUUUGUCUACAAAGAUCGCCUAUUUUUGUAGGGGGAAAAUUAAUUUUAAAAAAUUGAAAAAAUCGUCGCCGAAAUUCAGGGUUUUCGACGUUGGCGGACAGCGAUCCGAACGAAAAAAGUGGAUUCAUUGCUUCGAAGACGUGACGGCACUCAUUUUCUGCGUUGCACUGUCAGAAUAUGAUAUGGUUCUUGUCGAAGAUUGUCAGACG
rnacentral:sRNA from 1 species